rnacentral:rRNA from 1 species
UGGGGAAUAUUGGGCAAUGGGGGCAACCCUGAUCCAGCCAUGCCGCGUGAGUGAUGAAGGCCUUCGGGUUGUAAAGCUCUUUUGGCGGGGACGAUGAUGACGGUACCCGCAGAAUAAGCCCCGGCUAACUUCGUGCCAGCAGCCGCGGUAAGACGAAGGGGGCUAGCGUUGUUCGGAAUUACUGGGCGUAAAGCGAGUGUAGGCGGUUGCCGUAGUCAGGUGUGAAAGCCUUGAGCUCAACUCAAGAAAUGCACUUGAUACUGGGUGACUAGAGGACCGGAGAGGAUAGUGGAAUUCCCAGUGUAGUGGUGAAAUACGUAGAGAUUGGGAAGAACACCAGUGGCGAAGGCGGCUAUCUGGACGGUUACUGACGCUAAGACUCGAAAGCGUGGGGAGCAAACAGGAUUAGAUACCCUGGUAGUCCACGCCGUAAACGAUGGGUGCUAGACGUUGGCGAGCUUGCUCGUCAGUGUCGCAGCUAACGCGUUAAGCACCCCGCCU